rnacentral:misc_RNA from 1 species
AAAUCCACCUUCUCCAAUUUUGUUUGCAUUUUCAAAAUUGUUAGUUGCAGCUUUAAUUUGCUUCAAGGUAAAGGAAGUUGUUUGAAUUUCCAGUCCUUCAUGGUCUUUCUGCCUCUUACUCUUUGCUUUUGAAUAGCGUCUGUGCCAAAGGAUACCCAGUGCUAACAAUAUCAGAAAUGAUCCUGUCACUCCGAUGACAAUAGGUGCAACUUUUCUGCCUCCAGAUUGAGGGUUGAAGUUGGGAUUCACUGAGAUAGUUGAUAUUAGGGGGCCAUAGUUUCCAAUAUUUGGAAUCCGGGUGGUGCCUUUGCCAGCCCAAUAGAAGCGGAUCUCCAAAAUACCAUUUGAAACAUUAACAUCAUACUUUUUUGUUAUUGGCGUAAGAACAGCAGAGGCUUCACUUUUAAUAUUGAAAUCUUUCUCCAUUAAAAUAUCCUGAAUAUAGAUAU